rnacentral:lncRNA from 1 species
CAGGGGAGGGGAGAAUUAAGACAGCUUCUAUAAAUUAAAAACCAAGAAGCUUUCCAACAAUCUAAGACAAGAUUCUAGAAGGAGUGGAAUAUAGAGUUCUGUAGGCUAGACUGAGGUGUCUUGCUAAAAUCUGACAAUGGCAGUCUUUUUUCAACCAUGGAGAAAAAUGCAGCCAUGGGACUAAUUUCUGCCACGGGGACAUGAACAGAAGUGACGUGUGUCAUCAUCCAGGCCUGGAUCCCUGAGUCACUGUAUGGAGGAAAACUACCCAUUGACCAAUAACAACUUCAUUGGACUAAGACAGUUCUUCUAUGAUGAGGUCUCUGUAAGACUUUUAGUUCUCAGGCAUCUAAGAGUGAAGAAAAGAACCAUAUGCUUCAUGUUUUCAUCUACUUGAAAAUGAGAUAAUGAAUAUAAAUCUCCUAACACAGCCAAUGACACAUCAUAGGAAUUCAACAAAUGGGCAUCCUUUUAGUUCAUUUAACCCUCACUGUCAACUAUGACAUGCUUGAUAUCUUGUCUCGGCCCAUAAUAAAAAUGACCCAGUGGGUAUUAUUGUCUCCAUUUGACAAAUAAAAAAACAGAGGCUUAGGGAGUUCAACUAUAUAGCAUUACUGUGUCAAGAAAUGUCUGGUACACCAGUUUCAUCUGAUUUAAUUCUCACAAUCAUGUAGAGAAUGCAUGAG